UAAAAUAUUUAUGUUAAAUUUUCCACUUUAGAUUUGUAAGCCACAGGUUUAAUUUUUAUUUCUCAAAUUUUGUUUACAGAUACUUAAAAUUAAUACCUGCCUGUAUCCGGUGAACAGAAAAGAAUAUAAUUGAUUAACCGAAUUAUCUCUCUAAAAAUUGGUUCCAGGUACAACUUGAAUUGCAAAUCCCAAUCCAAAUUUGGGUACAGAUUCUGCUUAAAACAGCGCUUGUCAACAAAUGCAUUUAAAUUCCCCCCUUUGGAUUUUUUUCAGGUCAGAUAUUUUGAUCGAAAGUGAAAGCAUAUCUGACUUACUCUGCCCUGCUUUUAGCAUCAUGUAGAGUUCCAUGGAAACAAAAGGCACAGGUGAUGAAAUUGUGAUCAACGUUGUGAAAUGGGAUCACAAUUAUUUCUUUAAUCAAAACAAACCUUAUGACAUAGGUGUGGAAAUCAUAUUGCUAUGCUUUCCACCUGCAGUCAUAUUUUGUAAUCAGCACUUUUGGCCAAACACAUGGUGUAAAUUAUAUGGAAAAAUGAGAAGGCCUGUUCUGUCUCAUGCCGUUGCCAGGUAUGUUUCAUAUUUAGACAUAAACAACAGGAGAAAUUCAAAUUUCACAACAGUUGAGUCAUUUCUGCCGCUGUGAAUGCUUGUAGUUUAUUUGUAGUUUCUCG
rnacentral:lncRNA from 1 species